UCCGUAGGUGGCAAUCGUUAUCCGGAAUUAUUGGGCGUAAAGCGCGCGUAGGUGGUUUUUUAAGUCUGAUGUGAAAGCCCACGGCUCAACCGUGGAGGGUCAUUGGAAACUGGAAAACUUGAGUGCAGAAGAGGAAAGUGGAAUUCCAUGUGUAGCGGUGAAAUGCGCAGAGAUAUGGAGGAACACCAGUGGCGAAGGCGACUUUCUGGUCUGUAACUGACGCUGAUGUGCGAAAGCGUGGGGAUAAAACAGG
rnacentral:rRNA from 1 species